GGCGGGGAGGGGUGUUGCUGAGAGACAGAGAGAAACAGGAGAGGGAGAAUGAGUAGCAGUCACACAGUUUUCACCAAUCAGUCCAUAUGUUAGAUCCAGUCACCAUGUCCCUCCACCCGGCAGGGGCAGGGAUGGAACUAGGAUGUUGGACAAGGAGGCAACACACUUCAGGCCACUGUGGGGCAGCCCAUGCCACAGGAGCCGAGGUGAAUCACAACACACCAGGAGGACCAGGAAACCUGUAGGCCAGAGGGGUUGAUGUCUGACUCUUGUGGAAUUUCAAGCUUCUCAGAGGGGUCCUGGGAAACGGGCAGGAAAGGGAGGGACUUCCCCUAGGUCCCAGAGCACAACCAGGCCUGGGGCAGUUGUAUUCUGUCAUGAGCAGCACCGGAUGGCACCCUUCCUUUGCUAAGUCUAUGCAGGAGUUCCCUGUGACACAAGGCCAUGGGGUUUCCAGGCACUGGCGGUAGUUCUAGCGCUACAGACCUGAUGGCCUCCCUAGGGCACAAGGAGCAUUGGGGAGACUGGGAGACACGUGGCUUGUCCAGGGUCACAUCCCUGGUGAUGAGGAGGAGCUGGGUCUGAACCAGCUGUGUCCUCAGAGCCAGGGCCCUGGCAGCACUCAGGCCUCCCCAGAGCUAUGGGCUGUGUUGUGUUAGGGUCACGCUGCUGAGACUUGGCAUGGGGUUGGGGGGUGAGCUGGAGCAGCCCAGAGGUACCCUUGGGGAGCUUGGUGGAAGGAGGAAGCCCGGCGAAGGGGACCCCAGGAAGUGACCUCACUUCCCUGGCAACAGAGCCCAACAGAACUUGGAACCUGGGUGGCCAGGCACCCACUUCUCCAGGAAAGGACAGAGGAAGGAUGGACUUGCUCUGUUGCGCCCCCAUCUCCCGAGGCCGAAGCCGCAGGAGAGGGCCCAGAGGAGGAAACCUCAUCGAAAGCAGCAGACGAUGGAUCAGCACCCAGGGCAGACGCCUUCGGGCCUUUGCCCGCAGGGGCCCAGAGAGCCCCCCACCUGAGACUCCCCAGGAGCUGGGCGAGGAAGGCAGAAGGUCUCCAGUUGAAACGCCCCCCAGGCCGCCCCCCAGGGGCCUCUCCCGGGCUCACAGGGAGCUCAGAACAUCCAGCUCUGGGACUGAGGACAGACACCACCUGGGCCUGAGAGCCCUGGAUGGCCUGGCCCCCCCUGAGGCCCAGCCUGAAGCUCCCGCAGGAGACCCACAGCCAGAGGCGAAGACACCACCCGGGCAGGAAGAACCUGCAGCCUCUCUGGCCCCAGCCCCAGACACUGACGGGCAUUUUCCUCCGCUGGAGGAAAACGGUUCUCCGGCUCCUGCAGGAGACCAAGGGCCACAGGAGAAUCCAGCAGCAGCCCUGCAGGAAGAGCCUGCACUGCCUGCUCCAGCAGCCCCUAGACUAAGUCCUGAGCUGGCUCAGGCAAGAGCCCCAGGCCAAUUUCCAAAACCACCUUCCCCAAAGCCCCCUCCGCCCCUGCAAGUGCCCUCCCUAGCAGCUGCCCAAAAGCCCCAUUCACCCUCUCCCCCUCCCGAAAUGUACUCUCCUUCCCCUCUCGCCAUUUGUCUUUGGAUGU
rnacentral:lncRNA from 9 species